GAUGAACGCUGGCGGCGUGCCUAAUACAUGCAAGUCGAGCGAAUGGAUUGAGAGCUUGCUCUUAUGAAGUUAGCGGCGGACGGGUGAGUAACACGUGGGUAACCUGCCCAUAAGACUGGGAUAACUCCGGGAAACCGGGGCUAAUACCGGAUAACAUUUUGAACCGCAUGGUUCGAAAUUGAAAGGCGGCUUCGGCUGUCACUUAUGGAUGGACCCGCGUCGCAUUAGCUAGUUGGUGAGGUAACGGCUCACCAAGGCAACGAUGCGUAGCCGACCUGAGAGGGUGAUGGGCCACGCUGGGACUGAGACACGGCCCAGACUCCGACGGGAGGCAGCAGUAGGGAAUCUUCCGCAAUGGACGAAAGUCUGACGGAGCAACGCCGCGUGAGUGAUGAAGGCUUUCGGGUCGUAAAACUCUGUUGUUAGGGAAGAACAAGUGCUAGUUGAAUAAGCUGGCACCUUGACGGUACCUAACCAGAAAGCCACGGCUAACUACGUGCCAGCAGCCGCCGUAA
rnacentral:rRNA from 1 species